rnacentral:rRNA from 1 species
ACCUACCUUUUUCUAGAANAUAGCCUGAGGAAACUCGGAUUAAUAUUCUAUAAUACAGUAUUUUCGCAUGAAAAUAUUAUUAAAGCAGAAAUGUGGAANAAGAUGGGCAUGCGCCCGAUUAGUUAGUUGGUGGGGUAAAGGCCUACCAAGACGAUGAUCGGUAGGGGGCCUGAUAGGGUGAUCCCCCACACUGGUACUGAGAUACGGACCAGACUCCUACGGGAGGCAGCAGUGAGGAAUAUUGGUCAAUGGAGGAAACUCUGAACCAGCCACGCCGCGUGCAGGACGAAUGCCUUAUGGGUUGUAAACUGCUUUUGUUUAGKAAUAAAAAUUUCUACGUGAUAGAAAUUGUGAAGGUACUAAACGAAUAAGUGUCGGCAAACUCCGUGCCAGCAGCCGCGGUAAUACGGAGGACACAAGCGUUAUCCGGAUUUAUUGGGUUUAAAGAGUGCGUAGGCGGUUUAUUAAGUCAGUAGUGAAAUGUUACAGCUUAACUGUUAAAAUGGCUAAUGAUACUGAUAGACUUGAGUGAGAUUGGAGUAAUUGGAAUGUGUGGUGUAGCGGUGAAAUGCAUAGAGAUCACACAGAACACCGAUCGCGAAAGCAGGUUACUAAAUCUAUACUGACGCUGAGGCACGAAAGCGUGGGGAGCAAACAGGAUUAGAUACCCUGGUAGUCCACGCCGUAAACGAUGAUCACUAGUCGUUGGAUUUUAUUAUUCAGUGGCUAAGCGAAAGUGAUAAGUGAUCCACCUGGGGAGUACGAUCGCAAGGUUGAAACUCAANGGAAUUGACGGGGGCCCGCACAAGCGGUGGAGCAUGUGGUUUAAUUCGAUGAUACGCGAGGAACCUUACCAAGGUUUAAAUGUACUACGAAUAAGCUAGAAAUAGUUUAGUCUUCGGACGUAGUACAAGAUGCUGCAUGGUUGUCGUCAGCUCGUGCCCUGAGGUGUUGGGUUAAGUCCCUCAACGAGCGCAACCCUCAUUGUUAGUUGCCAACGAAUAAUGUCGGGGACUCUAGCAAGACUGCCGACGUAAGUCGAGAGGAAGGUGGGGACGACGUCAAAUCAUCACGGCUCUUAUAUCUUGGGCUACACACGUGCUACAAUGGUCGGUACAAAGGGUUGCUA